AAUCAACGCUGGCGGCGUGCCUAACACAUGCAAGUCGAACGCGAAAGUGGAGCAAUCCAUGAGUAGAGUGGCAAACGGGUGAGUAACACGUGGGUGACCUGCCUUCGAGCGGGGGAUAACGUCCCGAAAGGGACGCUAAUACCGCAUAACAUCCUGCCUUUUAAGAGGUGGAGAUCAAAGCCGGGGAUUCGCAAGAACCUGGCACUUGAAGAGGGGCCCGCGCCUGAUUAGCAGUUGGUGGGGCAAUGGCCUACCAAGGCAACGAUCAGUAUCCGGCCUGAGAGGGCGGACGGACACACUGGGACUGAGACACGGCCCAGACUCCUACGGGAGGCAGCAGUGGGGAAUUGUUCGCAAUGGGCGCAAGCCUGACGACGCAACGCCGCGUGGAGGAUGAAGACC
rnacentral:rRNA from 1 species